AAACAGCAGAGGUGCAGGCUGGGGCUCUUAGCAGCUGUGGCUGCCCCCUUGCAUCUCUCCAGAGGAUGAGAGGAUUGUUGUAGUAAUGAUUGAAGGGUAAGAAGUGUGCCACUCGGGAAACUCGACUGCAGAAUUUGUGGUCGUGGGGGACUGCGUUCGCGCUCUCCCCUG